AAAUUGUGUGGUUAUUGCUACAGGAUAUCACAUAGUCGUUCUGGCUUGUCCAGUAACGUCAUCCUUUUUGUUCCAUUGAUAUUUGCUUGUUGGCAAAUUUUUCACAGAGUAACGCGCAGCUGGUGCCGUUGCUGCUGCAAGGAUGCGAGUGUGGGAACUAAAUCUUCAACUGGCAAAAAUCAAUCGUAGUUGGCGCAAAGGUUUGGCCAUUGAAAUAUACAUAUGUGUGCUGCACAUACCACAAGGCAGAGCAGCUACUCCAGAGCAUUGGCUUUGCGUAAUGCAAAAGCCACAACAAGAAGCAAGAGCCACUUGCCGAUUGCCAAAGCAAGUCUUGAAUGAAUUUACAAAAGGCCUCAAGAGGAGCAGCAGCAGCAGCAGCAGCAGCAGCAGCCAGGCCACAGAGCUGGAAAGUGCGACAAGUGCUGCAGUCUUUGGCAGUGGAUGCACUUGAGAGACAAGUCACAGCUUGGCAGUCAACAUGCGAACCUUCACACACACUGGCAGAGAUUAAGUGGAAAGAUGGCCCAGUGGCCGGCGAAUGGAUCCAAAAUGUUUGUACGGCCCAAUGCAGCUGGUGGGCAAACAAAUACGCGUAGUGGCAACCAAAGUGGAUGCCAAAUAACCAUAAUGGUGUUUAUCCACAAGUUCAUUUCGCUGUUUAAACAUGCCUCCGAAUUUACCGACACAAUAAACAACGGCCAACGCAUUGGCCCAAACGGAGGCGCCCAGUGCCAUUACGUUUCGUUUUUAUGCUCGCUUAUGAAAUGCCAAUGGAG